rnacentral:sRNA from 2 species
CUUCAGGAUCGCUAGGGUUCCGGUCGUGCGGCGUGUGCCGCGCGAUGCCUGGUCCGAGAGCAAUCCGGUCUUGCCUUCGCCUCGACGAGAGGAAACGGCGAGGCUCCACGGAGGGAUAAAAGCCCGGGAGGU